ensembl:snoRNA
CACAGCUGUGCCACCUCAGUGCUACCCAAUCUAUGGUUGGCACUGGCCCACAAAGCUGCCACUCCGACACCCUGCCUCAUGGGCCCUGACGCCCAGGUCUCAGGGAUAAAUUCGGCUACAGGUACUA